AGCUCCAAUAGCGUAUAUUUAAGUUGUUGCAGUUAAAAAGCUCGUAGUUGGACUUAGGGGUGGGUUGGCCGGUCUACCUCACGGUGAGCACCGGUCUACUCGUCCCCAUUGCCGGCGAUGCGCUCCUGGCCUUAAUUGGCCGGGUCUUUCCUCUGGCGCUGUUACUUUGAAGAAAUUAGAGUGCUCAAAGCAGGCCUACGCUUGUAUACAUUAGCAUCGGAUAACAUC
rnacentral:ncRNA from 1 species